GAAAAAUUAGUUAAAUAAUAACACUGAAAUGUCAAAUCAGAAUUAUCAAUAGAUAUUUUUCU
rnacentral:tRNA from 1 species